UACGAAGGGGGCUAGCGUUGCUCGGAAUUACUGGGCGUAAAGGGCGCGUAGGCGGGCCGUUUAGUUAGAGGUGAAAGCCCAGGGCUCAACCCUGGAAUUGCCUUUAAUACUGGCGGCCUUGAGUAUGGCAGAGGUGUGUGGAACUCCGAGUGUAGAGGUGAAAUUCGUAGAUAUUCGGAAGAACACCAGUGGCGAAGGCGACGCACUGGGCCAUUACUGACGCUGAGGCGCGAAAGCGUGGGGAGCAAACAGG
rnacentral:rRNA from 1 species